UUUUCCCUAACUUUUUCCUGGACUAAACCUACAGUCCAUUGGGAUGCCCUAAUUUUUGCCUAAGUCACUCGUUUUCGAGUAUUCGACUUAGCGAAAUUUUCUUUUGCUUUUUUUAUUUUUCAUCAUUUUUUAUUGGAACAAAUCGUGUGACAUUUGUUCGUUUGAUUUGUUGAAAGGGUCGUGAUUGCCUUGUUUCUUUUGUUGGUGAGGGACAACCAUUAUAGAUUUGUG
rnacentral:lncRNA from 1 species